GAUAGAGCACCCUUAGGAAGGCGAUGCCGGAUCCUACGGGUCUCAACAGAGGGCCUUACGGGCACACUUCCUUCACGGAGCCUCGGGGAGCAGACGGUCUUGAGACGAGAGUUGCUCCCGCAACCCUUUCCCAGCUGCAGCUGCCUCUCCGCCAUCUCUGCCUCCGUGGCCACGCGGCAUCUUCUCCCUGGCAUGGGCUGAACCACCGUAUCUCGGGCAGGAGAGAUGUCGGGAGGAGAAGAAGCAUGCAUCUUAGAAUUGAUAAGCACGAUA
rnacentral:lncRNA from 1 species